GGAUUUAACACAAAAUCGUUUAGAAUGGAGAAAGUGAAUUUAUAUAAUCGACCAUAAAUUCUUGGAAAAAAUUCUUGAAAUAAAAACUCAAUCGAGUUGAGUUGAGUAUUAUUAUAGAAGUUAAAUAUAAUAAUGAAAUUAUAUAGUUAAGUUCUGGUACAAUAUGAAGAAAAUAAAUUGAAGUUAACUUCACCUCAAAAAUUAGUUACAAGUUAAAAAAAAAUGAUAUUUAUCCAAAUCUUAUAG
rnacentral:misc_RNA from 1 species